UACAGAGGGUGCGAGCGUUAAUCGGAAUUACUGGGCGUAAAGCGUGCGCGGACGGUUGCGUAAGUCAGAUGUGAAAGCCCCGGGCUCAACCUGGGAAUUGCAUUUGAGACUGCGUAGCUAGGGUGCGGAAGAGGGAAGCGGAAUUUCCGGUGUAGCGGUGAAAUGCGUAGAUAUCGGAAGGAACACCAGUGGCGAAAGCGGCUUCCUGGUCCAGCACCGACGUUCAGGCACGAAAGCGUGGGGAGCAAACAGG
rnacentral:rRNA from 1 species